GGAAACCACAAACAUGUCUUCUGCUGAGGCAGUGUGAAAGCAGCUGUAGAUGGGCCAGGCUUGCACGGUGCAACACCACGAAUGCCUCUGAGGAACGACUGUCUGUCUGGAUUCCAUGCAGGGCUGUUGAAAUGAACGUGGUGGCUGGUGGAGUCGAUGCCUUAAGGAGGUGCAUGUCUGAGUGUAGUGUGUGUGAGUGGUCUUGAUGUUGUAAUCCACACCUGGACAGGCGCCAAGCAUGUCUGCAGACACCUGCGUCAGACUGACUGAGAAAAACAAGAGUGAAAAGAACAGAUCCCACCCCUUCAUCCCUCUGCUCUCUGAGUCUCCCUCUGUGUUAGUGUG